rnacentral:lncRNA from 1 species
AUUGUUUUAUUUUUUAGGCGUCGCUGAAAAUAAUUUGCGAAUUGUUUUUCGCAUGGUGGAUCUGCGAAUUGAUUUUGUUUCCAUUAGCCAACAUUCCAACAGCACCAAGAUUCUGCCGUUAUCGGCAUCUGGGGAUUGAGUUUGUCUUUUUCACCUGGCUGUUGAUGAACAAUUCCGGAUGUCUUGCUGGACGUCGGAUUAAUCGGUCGACCCGAUAAGGUAGGUGCACUGGAUUCCUUUUAAAUGAGUAACCCACGUCCGUUUGAUUAAUUUGUGGUGAAGGAAAUUUUCCUGGCGCGCUAAUGACGACAAUCAACAGGCUCCUAUCACCACGACAUCGGUCUGUGACUGUCCUCGGGUUGAUUGAGUAUCCGAAAUGGACGUCGUUCAACACAUGUCCGAAUUCCAGUUUCAGUGGGGCUCCUCCGGCGAUCGGCUCCAACUUGAAUCGUAACUUGUAGUGACGGGUGUAUACUGGUCGGUCGGCUCCUCCGUCGUGGGUGUCUGAAGGCCUUUAAUUUCCAUGUAUAACCCUGGGUCGUAACAAAGUCUGCAGUCAGGCGGAGGCUCCUUGUGGCCCCCCCUAGCAGCCUAACGCAUAUUUUAAUGGGCAUUCCCUGUUUCCACAAAAGAGUUCCUGAUAACCACAACUUCAGCUACCACAAAUCAGCUUUAUGGCCCAAUAAGUGUGGGUGAAUGUGAUGUUAUGGGUGCGAGCAACAUCCUUCAAACAGUAGAUAGAGUUCAGAAAUUGGCAACCACUAGGAUCCUCUUGUCUUUCUUCUAUCUUGAUUAAUGAUCACUGCAA